AUCAGUGGUUAAAGCAAGAGGGAUCACCUGAAUCCAUUCCGAACUCAGUAGUUAAGCCUCUUUACGCCGACGAUAGCCUGAAGGUGAAAAUAGGAAGCCGCUGUUU
rnacentral:rRNA from 1 species